rnacentral:rRNA from 1 species
UACGAGAGGCCCAAACGUUAUUCGGAAUUACUGGGCUUAAAGAGUUCGUAGGCGGCGCAGAAAGUAGGGUGUGAAAGCCCUCGGCUCAACCGAGGAAUUGCGCUCUAAGCUACUGUGCUUGAGGAAUCUAGAGGUGAGCGGAACUGAUGGUGGAGCGGUGAAAUGCGUUGAUAUCAUCAGGAACACCGGAGGCGAAGGCGGCUCACUGGGGAUUUUCUGACGCUGAGGAACGAAAGCCAGGGGAGCGAACGGG